ensembl:lncRNA
CGAGGGGCCGGGGUGGGGGUCCUGAGGGGGAAAGCGGUUAAGAUGUUUGACUCAAAGAGGGAAGGUCCUGCGUUCGAUUCUCCCGUUCUGCCGCGUCACCUGUAGGCGUCCUUGUGGGGGGUGGAUAACGUCGUCUGGUGGCUCUCUAAAUGGCCGUCCCUCAGGUUUAGGGCACGUUCUGACUGCUUGCUUUGUAUUUUAAUAGUUUUUUUAUUUGUUAUCUAAUCUUUCCAGAACGGUGUCUCCACCUCCUCAGCCUUCUCUGCUCCCAGGGUGCAGACCGGUGACGCGUCGUCCAGCACUGCUACGAUAACGGCCAAGCCAACCAAUGGGGUCAGCUCUACCAACGGCCACGGCGCCAAGGCCCCGGUCUCUGACAUCUCCCACCUGGUCCGGAAGGUGAGGAAGGAGAGGAAACCAGAGCAGAGUCCGGCGAAGGAGGGCUCGACCAAGAGGCUGAAGCCGGAGGAGCUGAAGGCGUAGGCCACCACCACGGAGCUGGAGAGGUAACGACACCGCGCCGUGUUCCCAUGGAGAUCCAAACGGCCGCGGGCCUUCCUGGGGAGAUGUGGUCGAUUAGUUUGUCCCCUGCCGGGCUCCGACCACGAGAGGCCCCUGACUAACGUGCAGAUGUUUUUAAUUGCCGUGUCUGUAAUUUGGCCAACUACAU